UGGUCGGCAUGUCUGGUAGCAUCUCUGACUGCUGUUGACCUUGUUUUUGGAGUAAAACACGGUGGAAGCUGAAUUAGUGAGGAUGACUCCUGCUCCUGUCAUCUCUAAGCUCCUCACACAUCUUUACCUGCACAUGAGGAAAAUCACUCCUGUAGAAUGCAGAUGUUCAGAGGGAGAUGAUGCCACAUCUGGUCCAGCUGAUGGAAGGUCUUGAAGUUCUCUGACUGGCCUCGACUGAAGAUGGUCGUCUCACUGGAUUUAAGAUGCACAAUGAGGGACGUCUGCAGAGACUGAGAAAGAGUCUCACCACAUCCUGACAUGAGGAAAAAGACUUUAUUGAAGACUACAAUGAGAAAAACUAUCAGACAGCAGACGGCUGCAUUCAAGGUGAGCUCUGAACAUUUGAUCUGGAACAGGAAUUCAAUAACAGCAGCAUGAGCUUCAUUUCAGUCUGUAGCUGCUGAAUUCAUGGAUGAAUCAUCUGGCGCUAGAGAGGAAGACCAUCAAACAUCCACAUCAGCUGAUGGAGGUCCAAGAGUCUCACCGAACAAACAACCUACAGAGUGAAGACCUCAAAUCUGAUUGGACGGCCUCCUAUUCAGCCACGUGUGAACAAAUGCCUCUAAGCUGAUUUGUUUUCUAAAAUAAAUCCAGUUUGAAUCCUAAUCUAUUCCUGUGUGUUUGCUUCUUUACACCACUGUUAACAGUUUAGGCUGUUAGAUUGUUCCAGAUAAGACAAGUACAAGAUUCUUCAGAGCCGUUCUACCACGAGCCUGACAGGAAGAACUCCAACAGCUACUGAAUGUUCCUGUGGUU